rnacentral:rRNA from 1 species
UACAGAGACUGCAAGCGUUAUUCGGAUUCACUGGGCGUAAAGGGUGCGCAGGCGGUUGGGUGUGUCAGAUGUGAAAUCCCGAGGCUUAACCUCGGAACUGCGUCUGAAACUACUCGACUAGAGUACUGGAGAGGGAAACGGAAUUCCCGGUGUAGCAGUGAAAUGCGUAGAGAUCGGGAGGAACACCAGUGGCGAAGGCGGCCUUCUGGACCAAUACUGACGCUCAUGCACGAAAGCGUGGGGAGCAAACAGG